GACGAACGCUGGCGGCGUGCUUAACACAUGCAAGUCGAACGGACAGGCCCUGCUUUUGUGGGGUGCUCGAGUGGCGAACGGGUGAGUAACACGUGAGUAACCUGCCCUUGACUUUGGGAUAACUCCAGGAAACUGGGGCUAAUACCGCAUAGGAGCUCCUGCUGCAUGGUGGGGGUUGGAAAGUUUCGGCGGUUGGGGAUGGACUCGCGGCUUAUCAGCUUGUUGGUGGGGUAGUGGCUUACCAAGGCUUUGAAGGGUAGCCGGCCUGAGAGGGUGGACGGCCACAUUGGGACUGAGAUACGGCCCAGACGCCUACGGGAGGCAGCAGUGGGGAAUAUUGCACAAUGGGCGGAAGCCUGAUGCAGCAACGCCGCGUGCGGGAUGACGGCCUUCGGGUUGUAAACCGCUUUCGCCUGUGACGAAGCGUGAGUGACGGUAAUGGGUAAAGAAGCACCGGCUAACUACGUG
rnacentral:rRNA from 1 species